rnacentral:snRNA from 1 species
CUUCUCUUCAUCUUGGUUUGUUUUC